CGACGCGAGCGGUUGCAUGUAGCGGACAAACGUCUAAAAAAAGAAAAUAAGUAGUAAAACAAAAGAAAACAUUACAACAACAAAAAGUGUUUAAUACAAAGUGUAAAGUGAGAUUUCCGAGCAGUUAAGUGUAAAAACGUCGAUUUAUCUUAUAUGUAUGUGCAUACAUACAUACGUCUAUAUGUAAGGUGAAACAAUAAGUAAAAUAGAAAAGAAUUCCAAGUGAAAAUCGAGAAACGAAGCCGAAGAGUUGAUGUGUUCUUCUUCUAAGCCAACAGUGCAAUUUACUUACAUACAUAUAUAUGUACAUAAAAAGCAAUAAAGAAAAGGCAAAUAAAAAGUGAAGAAAAAACUGCGCGCUAAAGAAAAACCAAAA